rnacentral:miRNA from 10 species
GCCCUACGUGUGUGUGUGUGUGUGGGUGUGUGUGUGUGUGUGUGUGUGGUCACAAACCACAGCCCAGGGGCCAAACCCAGCCCACA